rnacentral:lncRNA from 1 species
GCAAUUUUUUCCCCUCCAGUGAGGAGAUACUAGGGAAGGCCUCUGGGUUCACAGCCAAAUUGCCUUAAUGGUUUGCCUGCUGUCCAGCGAGACCCAGCAGAGCGAGCGGGACGGCGGUGCGCCGGGCCGCGGGGACCCACGCAGUCACAGCUCCGGUGCCCGGCGAGCGGCCUCGCGCGCGGCUCGGGGCCGGGCCCUGCCCGGCCGUCUGCAAGAGCCGCGGGACCCCCGACGCGCGCGCACGGACCGAGGGGUCGGUCGCCCCACGCCUGGCAUCACGUUCCAGUGCGGACAGCCAAAGGGCUGAGCGGAGGCAGCAGCCCCGACCCAGCGGUAGCGCCGCGCCCUGCCCGAGAGAGGCGCGCCACGCCGGGCCGGAGCCGGUGGCCCGGGAGCCCGCGGGGUCCGGAGCGGAGCCCGCAAUGCAGACGCGCCGGCGAGCCCAGCCGGGGCCCGCGCCCCCCGCGUCCCCGCGCCCCGGCCCCGCGGUCGCCCGGCCUCAACGCCCACCUGCCUCGCCACGGAGCUCGGGAAGGAGACGGCGCCGGCCCCGCGCCCGGAGAGCGCACCUGCCUGGUCCGCGGGCCCGGCCCCGCCGCCCGCCGGCAGCACCGCGGCCAGCGCCGUCUUACCUGCCGCGCCGCGCCGCUCCGCUCCGCCAGCCCGCAGCGCCGCAGUCGCCGCUACCCGACUUCCAUUUUCUCUCGCUUUAAAGGAAAACCAGAUCAGCUGUUUUGCUCCCGCUCGGGCUCCGCGGCCCCCUCCCCAGCUGCCGCUCGCGGUCCCGGUGGCCUCUCCUCCCCCGCCUCCUCCCGCGCUCCGCUCCGCCCCUCGCGCCCCUCCGCUCCGCCCGCGGCCGCGCACAACGCCCGCCUCCCGGCUCCGCCUGCUGCCUCCGGGCGCGCGCCCUCCUCUGACGUCACCGGUCGCGUUCGCGCCCCGCCCCCGCCCCGCGCGGACGUGCGCGCGCCGCGCCUGUGCCCCGCCCCCGCCCCUCCGGGGCCGGGCACGGAGAGCGCGUGCUCGCGGCCGCGAGCCGAGGAGGGGACGUACAGCGCCCGCGCGCCCGCGAGCCCGCUCCGGCUCUCCCAUGCUUGCCCCUCGGGGUGCUCCUUCUGCGCUCUCCGCCUGGACUGCAGGAAAAGGCUGCUUAAACAGCCUGCCUUUUCCUGCUGCCUGACUCGCGCCAUCUGCGGCCACCUGUCUCGUUUCUUCCCCCUGGCUGGCGCACCCUUCCUUCCUAAACAUCCCAAACUUUCUCCCACCCAGGCUGUCCAGGCUGCAGUUUCUACGCCCUGCGCUGGGGCCUGUGCAUCACGCCUAAUCCAAAGCUGGUCCUUUUACCUCCCAAAAAGGUUCUCUGACCUUUUCCCAUUUUUUGCCUUCCUCUAAAGACUUUUUCACGCCACCCCUUCAGAUGGUUCCCCUCCCUGAUGGCAAGACCUGCUCGCUGCUCUGGGCCCUUCUCACGUCACCCUGUAGAUGUAGUCACGCUUCCUUAUCCCAAACAGGACGUUAUAUUGCAGAUGACCCAUACCAUCCUGGUGUACUUCUAAACAAUCAUUAUUUUACUUUUAGUUUAGGACUUUUUGCUUGACUUUAAACAUUGUAUAUGUUUAAUAGUGUUUAAUAAUUUAUUUGACUUUUAAAAUUGAUAUUCAGUAAAAUUGGUUAUUUGAUAUAUAAUCCUGUGAUCUUGAACCCUUGUUUGGAUUCAUGUAACCACUAGCGCAAUAAAGAGCUCCCUAGUUCUGCCCUUUUAUAACAGCGCCCCCGCCAACCCUAACUUUUGGUAACCACUGAUAGGUUCUCCAUUGCUACGGUUUUGUCUUUGUGAGUGUGUCGUAUACAUGGAAUUACGCAAUAUGUAACAUUUUGAAACUGACUUUAUUCCCUCAUCAUUAUACCUUGGAGAUUCAUCCAUGUUAUUGUGUAUAGUAAUAGUCCUUUUUAUUGUUGAGGGGAGUCUCAUUAUUUGUACCACAUUUUGUUUAGUCACCCACUGGAGAAUAUUUGCGUGGUUUCCAGUUUUUGGCGACUGUGAAUAAACAUUCUAUAAACAUUUGCAUGCAGCGUUUUGUACGGACAAAUUUUUUAAAUUAGUUGACUAAAUAUCUAGGAGUGCAAUUGCUAGAUCUUAUGGUAAAUUUGUUUAACUUUAUAAGAACCAAACAGUUUUCUAGAGUGGCUAUAGCAUUUUUAUAACUGUCAGCAAAUAUGAAUCCCUUUCCUUCAUCCUCACCAGCACUUGAUAUUGGCUAUCUUUAUCUAUCUAUCUGUCCAUCCAUCCAUCCAUCCGUCUAUCAUCUAUAAUUUUAGACAUUCUAGUAGGCAUAUAGUGCUAUAUCGUUGUUAAUUUUCAAUUUUCUACUGAAAAAUUAUGUGGAGCAACUUUUCAUAUGCACCUGUAUAUCUUCUUUGGUGAGAUGUUUGUUCACAUCUUUUGCCCAUUAAAAAAAAAAGGUUGUUUUCUUAUGGUUGAGUUUUAAGAGUUCUUUGUGUAUUUUGGAUAGAAGUACUUUAUCUGAUACGUGUUUUGCAGGUAUUUUCUUCCAGUGGAAGCUUGUCUUUUCAUUCUCUUAACAGUCCUGUCCUGAAUUUAGGGGAAGUAUCCAGUUUCUUACCACUAAAUAUGAUGUUAGCAGUAGGAUUUUUUUAGUUCUUCUUUAUCAAGAUUAGGAAGUUCUCUCUAUUCCUAGUUUGCAGAGUUUUUAUCAUGAAUGAAUGUUGGAUUUUGCCAAAUUCGUUUUCUGCAUCUAUUGAUACGGUCAUGUGAUUUUAUUUUCUUUAGCUUGUUGAUAUGAUGGGUUACAUUGAUUUUCAAUUGAUUUUCAAGGAACCGGUCUUGCAUACUUGGGUCAAAUUCUACUUGGGCAUGGUAUAUAAUUGUUUUUAUACACCAUUGUAUUCAAUAUGCUAAUAUUUUGUUGAAGACUUUUGCAUCUAUGUUCAUGAGAAAUAUUUGGCUAUAGUUUUCUUUUUUGUAAUGUCUUUAAUUUAUUUUGGUAUGCCGGUAAUGCUGGCCUCAUAAAAUGAGUUAAGAAGUAAUAUUUACUUGUAUUUUCUGUAAGAAAUUGUAAAGAACCUAUAUCAAUUCUUCCAUAAAUGUUUGGUAAAAUUCCCUGGUGAAACCAUCUGAAUCUGGUGAUUUUUUUGAGACUUCAUUAAUUAUUGAUUCUUUGUGGAUACAGAGCUAUUAGGUGAUCUGUUUGCUUUUCUGUAAAAUGUAGUUGUAUCAUUCAAGGAAUCGGUCCUUUUUAUCUAAUAUUCAAACUUGUGGGUGUAAAGUUGUUCAUCAUAAACCUUUAUUAUUCUUUUAACAUCUAUGAAAUUAGUAGAGAUGACGCCUCUUUCAUUUUUUGAUAUUGGCAAACUAUGCCCAAUGUCUUUUUUUCUUGGUUAACCUGGACAGGUUUAUUAAUUUUAAUCAUCUUUUCAGCUUUUUCUUUGUUUUGUUGAUUUUUUUCUAUUGUUUUCUAUUUUCAAUUUCAUUCUCUAAUUUUUAUUAUUCCUCUUUGUUCUGCUUGUUUUAGGCUUAAAUUGCUCUUCUUUCUCUAUUAUCCAAGGUGACAAUUUAGGUUGUUGAUUUUAGAUUUUUCUUCUUUUCAAAUGUAUACAUUUACUGCUAUAAAUAUCCCCGCUUUUACUGCAUCCCACAAAUUUAGAAAAGUUGUACUUUAAUUUUUAUUUAGAUCAAUGUUUUUAGUUAUUCUUGAGAUUCCUCUUUGACCCAAAUGUUUUUUAAAAAUGUGUUGUUUAGUUUCCAAUAAUUUGGGACUUUCCAGCUAUCAUUCUGUUCUUGAUUUCUAGGUUACUUCCAUUGUGGUAUGAAGACAUACUUUGUUUAAUUUCUAUUUUUCUUUAAUUUGAUAAGGUGUGUUUUAUAGAUCAGAAUGUGGCCAAUGUUGGUGAUUAUUCCAUGCCAGCUUGAGAAGAAUGUGUAUUGUGCUAUUGCUAGAUCUACAAAUAUCAAUUAAAUAAAGUUGAUAAUGCUGUUUAGGUCAAUUAUAUCCUCACCGAUUUUUUGCCUAUCUGAUCUUAUCAAUCAUGGAUAGAGAAAUGUUGAAGUAUCCUAUGAUAGUGGAUUGGACCAUUUUUUCUUUCAGGUUUAUCAUUUUUUCCUCACUUAUUUUGACAUUUUAUUCUUAGGCACAUGCAUAUUUAGGGUUAUUAUGUAUUCUUGGAGAAUUAGCCCCUUUAUGAUUAUGAGUUUCUUACCUAUCCCUCCCCUCACAUCCCUGAUAAUUUUCCUUUUUCUCAAGUCCCUUUUAUCUGAAAUUAAUGCAGCUACUCCAGUUUUCUUUUGAUCAGGGUUAACAUGGUAUAUCUUUCUUCAUCCCUUUACUUUUAACCAAACAGAUACUUUAUAUUUAAUGUCAACAAGAUAUAGUGGGGUCUUGUUUUGUUAUCUACUCUAGCAAUCUGUGUCUUUUAAUUGGUGUAUUUAGACCAUUCACAUUUAACACAAUUGUUGAUCUAUUUGGAUGAAUAUCAAUCAUAUUUGUAACUGUUUCCUACUGGUUGCCAGUGGCGGCUUUUUCUGCCUUCUCCGAUUUUAAUUGAGCAUUUUGUGUGGUUCUAUUUUAUCUUCUCUUAAAGAGUAUCAAUUAUACUUUUUAAAGAAUUUUUUAGUGGCCAUUCUAGAGUUUCUUUUUUCUUUGCUUUGCUUUUUUUUUAAGACAAAGUCUGGCUCUAUUGCCUAGGCUGGAGUGCGGUGGUGCCAUCUCGGCUCACUGCAUCCUCUGCCUCCUGGGUUCAAGCCAUCCUCCCAGCUUAGCCCCCUGAGUAGCUUACCAUGCCCAGCUAAUCUUUGCAAUUUUUGUAGAGACAGGAUUUCACCAUGUUGUCCAGGCUGGUCUCAAGCUCGUUAGCUCAAGCAAUCUGCCUGCCUUGGCCUCCCAAAGUGCUGGGAUUACAGGUCUGAGCCAUCAUGUCCAGCCUAGAGUUUCUAAUAUAGAUUUUCUUCUUUUACUAAUGUGUGUUCACCUUCAAAUCAUGGUAUUGUUUCACAUGUAACGUAGAUAUCUUAUAAGAGUGUGUUCCCAAUCCUCCCUCCCAUUCCUCGUAGCAUUGCUGUUAGUCUUUUCUCUUAUCCAUAUGCUACAAUGACCUGUUACUAUUUUUGCUUUAAAUAAGAAGUUAUCCUUUAAAUUAUUAAUGAAAAUAAAAAUAAAAGAUUUCAUUUUACCUCCAUUUAUUGCUUCUCCAACACUUCCUUUCUUAAUAUAGAUCCAAGUUUCUGACCUACAUCAUCUUCCUUCUGUCUGGAGAAAAUCUUUUAACAUUUCUUGAAGGACAGGUCUGAUGGUGAAUUACCUCAGCAAAGCCAGGAGGGACUCUUCUUUGGCUUGCCACUGUGAAACCUGGUGAUGUUGAUGGAGGUCAUGUUCCUGAAGCCCGAAGACAAAGAAAAUGACUCACUGAGGAGCAGUAGAAGCAAUGACGAGGAUGAUGUCACACAUUUGCUUGGUGUCUACUCAGCACUUGUGCUUGACAUCUAUGAUCUCAUUUGGUUCUGAAUCCCCCAGAGUGGUGGGCACUAUUACCAUCUCCAUCUGAUGUAUGAGGAAACUGGGGACACCGUGUAUGGAAGGAUGACCGAAGAUUGGUUAAGACUAAACUCUCAGCUUUGCCGAAAGUAAGACAGCCCAUCAGGAAGGUGAAGAGCCUUGGACAACUGUGCCUCCAUCAGGGCCUUGGUGGAGUGAUUAAUCACCUUACGAAGGAAGACCUUGCCUAACACCAAUUUUCAGAUGAUAUCCCAACAUUCAUGAGAGGUGGAGGGGAGUGUUCCUCCAACUUGACCCAGCAAUCAUCCCAGAGCCCCUGAUGUCAUCACAGCAGCCUGGGCUUGCUCACCCGUGUUGUUGUGAGCCUCAGCGAUGAUGGUGCUGGGUCUGCAGAGUUCUGGCUGCAGGAUGGAGUUGGAAUAUUGUACUCAGUGGAACUGAGCUGGGGCUGAACAAAGGCAAAUCUUCUGCCCUGGGGAUUAGGCAUUCAUCUGUGCCAACUCUCUUAAAUAUUUACAGAUGUGGAUUCGUGACAAUAAAAUUUGUGUAGGUUAUAUUUAGAGAGAAAACGAAGAAACAUCUGAGGAACCCCUGCUGUGUGCCAUGUCCUGUGCUGGAUGCUUUCUCAAGGUACUUCAUCUCAUCUUCACAAGCUUCCUGGGGGCUAUUUUGGAUGCUCCAUUUUAUAGAUGAGGAAACUGAGGCCGAAAGAGAUUAUAUGACUUACCCAAGGCCAUGCAGGUCAAAGUUCUAAAUGAUACAGCCAGGACUCAGCCCUAGGUCUUCUACUCUAAGUCAGGUUUGCUGUGAGUCGUGAAGUGGGUUAAAAUGCAUGUGACAGAAUACCAACAAAAUAGGGUUGGUCAGGAGAUAGGCAGCCUACACUCUAGAAAGUCAGCAGGAACCAAGGUACCUUCUGACUGUCUCCUCUCCCAUCCUAAUCCUCAUCCUCAUCCUCACACACACAAGCUAGAGGCCACAUCUUGUCCAUAUUCCAAACAGAAAGAAAGGGAAGGGGAAAGUCCAAAAAUGGAUGUUCCAGCAAAGUCUGCCCCAGUAUGAGAUUUCUGCUAUUGCCAUAAUAGCUUACCAAAAAUGUAGUCACUUUGAACAAUGCAAAGUUAUUAUUUGAGAGUUCUUAAUGUCAGAAGUCUGACACCGAUCUCAUUGAGCUAAAUCAAUAGAACAAAGGGGCUGCCUUUCUUUCUAGAGGUCCUGGGGGAACAUCUGUUUCUUUGCCAUUUCUAGCUUCUAGAGCCACCUGCAUUCCUUGGCUCAUGGCUCCCAUCUCUCAUCAUCAUAGCCAGCAGUAGGGUGAGUCCUCACACUACAUUUUUCUGAGUGCUUCCAUCAUCACAUCUCUCUCUUUGAACAGAGCCAGAAAAGGUUCUCCACUUUUAAGAACACAUGUAACUAGUUGGGGCCACCUGCAUAAUUCAAGAAAACCUCCCUAUAUCAAGGUCUUUACCCUUAAUCACAUUUGCAAAGUCAUUUUUACCAUAUGAAGUAAUACAUUCUCAGGUUCUAGGCAUUAGGAUGUGGGUUGGGUGGCUGUUAUUCCAAUGGCCACAGCCCUCUUCUAAUAAAGUUUCCCUACAAGCUUCAUGUAAAAUGUCUUGGCCAUAAUAGAGUCGCCAAGUUAUUCCUGCAAGGGAAGCUGGGAAAAGUAAAUUGUUUACUUAACUGGGCACAUUGGCUUCACCAGCAGGGAAGACUGAAUAUUAGGUAAUCUACUUGCUAUUUCUCCUACACAGGCCUAGAGUUACACAAAACGUACUUGGGAGUUAACUUUCUUUUCUAACUCUCUGAAAAGGUUUGUCCUUGGCAACACAUCUCCUUCCCUUUCUUUGGCCCCCAAGUGAUACCUCAUGAUAGAUGUAUCCAUAUACUCACCUAUAAGUGUAUCUAUCUAUCUAUCCCUCUAUCUCUAUAUUUGCAUUAAGUAGACACAGAGAAAAUAUUUGUUGAAUAAAUGGAGAUUUGAUCUCCUAUAUCUCAUGUAUUUAGCCUGAAAAAAAUGCUAAGAUUCUCUUAAUUUCAUAGAACUGUGAUAUAGAUCUGUGAUACAGCAGAAGUAACCCUGCAGUCUAAAGAGAAGAUCUGAAUUCAGUUCUACCUUUGCUGUAUGCUAGCUUGGAUGACAAAAGGCAAAAUGUUUCACUGUCCUUAACUAUGACAUAUAAACAAUGUCUAUCCCAGAAGACAGUUUUAAAAUUAAAUAUACUAAAUGGUACAGAAAAUAUUUCUGAUUCCAGUAAUAUUUUGCUCUGUACAACUUAAAAAUUCUUACAAAGCUCUGUAAAUACUGUAUAAAAUAGAACAGACAUGUUUUAAAUGCAUAGGUGAGCUUUCAACAAGGAAGAAGAAAUCCUUGUGUGAUAGAAUCAAUAAGGCAGCUUAAAAACCAAAAAGGAAGCAUAGAAUGCUGUAGAUAGGUUUCACAUUUUUUCUUCUAAUGUUGAGACCACAUUUUUCUGGGAGUAGACCACUUAUAAGGAUUUAGGUGGGUUUCCCGCAGCAGAGAGCUCAUGUUCUGGGUCUGCUUGGCCAGCCAGAAUGCCCCACCCCAGCUGUCAAGCAUGGGGGAUUACAGAAAAUUCUAGGCCCCACAGGAGGCAGGUUUGAGUACUAGAACUGAGAAUUCUGUAUGAAUGGUAGACCAAAAAAGAACUGUACCUCUAGAAAAGAGUGGCUUAGUAAAGAAAUAUAGUCAUUAACUUAGAAAAUCAACCAGAAAACUUACCUAUCUCUGCUUGGACUCUGGGUAAGAGAAAAAGUUCAACACACAUAUUCAAAGCCAGAACUUGCAUUGCAUGGAUUUGUGGAGAUCAAAUUUGCAAUAACUGUGUCUUUCCAAAGCUCAUAAUCUAAAAAAACUAAUAUAAAAAUAGAUUCCAUGCCAGUUAUAGCCAAAAUCUCUAAGCAGGAGAAAAUCAUAGAACAGUUAUGUAGUAGAUCUUACAGGAGAAAAAUUUACAUGUCAAAGUUAUACCACAUUUAAGGAAAUAAUCCACAGUGAAUGAAAGACAGCAGAAACAAUAUAUAGCAUUAGAGUUCCCUAGGAAUAUUAGAACUGACAAAGACUGUAAAACUCAAUUAGUAUUUAAAAAGCAGAUUUGACACAAUUGAAGAGAGAAAUAAUAAACUGGAGGAUAGGGAACAGGAAAUUACUCAAAUGCAGUAUAAGAAGAUAAAGAAGUGAACAAAAGAUUAAGAAGCACCAAGGACAGAAUGAAUAAAUCUAACAUGUCUACUUGAAGAAAAGGGGAAUAGCAAAAAUGAAAGAGAAACAAUAUUCAAAGGGAUAAUUGUAAAAAUAAUGGAAAAUAUGAAUUUUUAGAUUCAAUAUUCAUAACAGAUCUUGGGACAAAUAAUUUAAAAUAUAUUCAUAUCUGGACAUGUAAUUGGGUCAAAAUUUGUAUAUUAUUUACUGUAUUUACUUUUAUUUAAUGUAAUUCUCAAGCAUUUUCUCAUAUGAUAAAAACAGUUGUCCCACAAUUUUAGUGUCUGUUCAAUAUUCUAAUGUCUCAUGAUUUAUUUACUCACUCACUGAUAUAUAAAUAUUUAUGGAUUUAUCCCUCAAACUAAUAUUUGUAGAGGUAACAUGAUGUUGCUCAUCACUGCAUAGAAAUCUUCAUACAUUCAAAAUUUACUUAGAAUUCUAAAAGCAGAACUAUUAAAUGAUAUAACCUUUUUACGGCUCUUAAAUUUUUUUUCAAACUUCUGGAUUAAUCUGACAAACACUACCUCAGGUGAUAUACAUCGAUAUCAACAGUGAUAAGUCAUUUUGACAGUAUGUGAUGAAUUGAUAUGAUAUGGUGUGAUGAGAAUGACCUGUUACCUACGUGGUUUUCCUCCCAAAUUCAUGUAACUACAAUAUAAUCAUUUCAGUUGAAGCACAUUAUUUAUACUAAAUACCUGACUUGUACUCCUCAAAAUGAUCAAAGUCAUCAAAACUAAGAGAGACGCAGUCUCAUUCUGUCACCCAGGCUGGAGUGCAGUGUGUCAUCUCUGCUUACUGCAACCUCUACCUCCUGGUUUCAAGCAAUUCUCCUGCCUCAGCCUCCCAAGAAGCUGGGAUUACAGGCACCUGCCACCACACCCUGCUAAUUUUAAAACUAAGAAAAUUCUGAUUAACAAUCACAGCCAAGAGAAGCCUAAGAAAACAUGACAGCUGCACAUAAUGUGCUAUCCUGAAUGGGAUCUUGGAAUAUAAAAAGAACAUUAUGUGAAAAUUAAGGAUAUCUGAACAAAGUAUGGGAUAGCUACUAUAAAGACACAUGCACACGUAUGUUUAUUGCAGCACCAUUUACAAUAGCAAAGACUUGGAACCAACCCAAAUGCCCAUCAGUGAUAGACUGGAUAAAGAAAAUGUGGUACAUAUACACCAUGGAAUACUAUGCAGCCAUAAAAAAGAAUGAGUUCAUGUCCUUUGCAGGGACAUGGAUGAAGCUGGAAACCAUCAUUCUCAACAAACUAACACAGGAACAGAAAACCAAACACUGCAUGUUCUCACUUAUAAGUGGGAAUUGAACAAUGAGAACACAUUAACACAGGUAGGGGAACAUCACACACCGGGGCCUGUUGAUGGGUGGGGAGCAAGGGGAGGGAUAGCGUUAGGACAAAUACCUAAUGUAGAUAACGGGUUGAUAGGUGCAACAAACCACCAUGGCACAUGUAUACCUAUGUAACAAACCUGCACGUUCUGCACAUGUAUCCAAGAACUUAAAGUAUAAUUUAAAAGAAUAAUAAUGUAUAGCUCAGUGUAAAGCCAUCUGGGCCUGGGCUUUCUUUGUGGGAAGAUUUUUAAUUACUAAUUUAAUAUUUUCCCUUGUUAUAGGUCUAUUAAGAUUGUCAACUUCUUCUUGAGUCAGUUUUUGCAGUUUGUGUCUUUCAGGAAAUUUGUUUAUUUCACUAAUGUUAUCUAAUUUGUUGGCAUACAAUUUUUUCAUGAUAUUCUUUUGUAAUUCAUUUUUAUUUCUAUAAGGUCAGUAGUAAUGUCCUCUUUUUUGUUUCUGAUUCUAUCAAUUUAAGUCUUCUCUUUUUAAAAAUUCUGAUCAAUCUAGCUAAAGUUUUGUCAAUUUUGUUGAUACUUUGAAAGAAUUAGGGUUUGGUUUCAUUUAUUUUCUCUAUUGUUUUUCUUUUCUGUAUUUUAUUAAUUUCCACUCUAAUUCUUAUUAUUUCCUCCUGAUAUGGUUUGGAUAGUUGUCCCCUGCAAAUCACGUGUUGAAAUGUGAUUGACAUUUCACAUGUGAAAUGACCCCCAGUGUUGGAGGUGGGACCUAGUGGGAGGUGUUUGGGCCAUGGGGUCAGAUCCCUCAUAAAUGGCUUGAUGCCCUCCCUGUGGUAAUGAGUUACCAGGAGAUCUGAUUGUUAAAAAGAGUCUGGGACCUCCCUCCUCUCUCUUGCUCUCUCUCAUCAUGGGAUGUGCCUACUUCCUCUUUGCUUCCUCCAUGAUUAUAAGCUUCCUGAGGCGCUCACCAGAAGCCAUGCUGGUGUCCUACUUCACAGCCUGCAGAACUGUGAGUCAAGUAAUUUUCUUAAAAAAUUACCCAUCCUCAGGUAUUCUGUAGAGCAAUGCAAAAUGGAUUAACACAACUGCCUUAUGCUUGCUUUAGGUUUAGCUUGCUCCUCUUUUUUCAGUGUCUUAAAAUGUAAGUUUAGGUUACUGAUUUGAUAACUUUUUUCUUAAUAUAGACAUUUGCAGCUCUAAGUUUCCCUGUGUUAUAUGAUACUGCUUUUACUGUGUCAUAUAACUUUUGAUAUGCUUUGCCUUCUUUUUCAUUCAUAUCAAAGUGUUUCCUAAUUUUUCUUUUUAUUUACUUUUUGACCCAUUGACUAUUAUAAUAGCGGUACUCCCCAAACUGAUCUACAGAUUCAAUUCAUUCCCAAUCAAAAUCCCAACAGCCUAUUUUGCAGAAAUAAUAAGCUAAUUCUUAAAUUCAUAUGGAACUGCAAGGAACCAGAACAGUCAAAACAAUCUUGAAAAAGGAGAAUAAAGUAGGAGAAGUCACACUUCCUGAUUUCCAAACUUACUACAAAUCAAGAGUAACUAAGACAAUGUGAUACUGGCACAACGAUAUACAUAUUUAUCAAUGCAAUGGAAUUGAGAGUAGAAAUAAACUCAGAUAUCUAUGGUCAACUAACUUUCAACAAAGGUCUUAAGACUAUCCCACGGGGGAGGAAUAGUCUUUUCAACAAAUGUUGUUGGGACAACUGAAUAUUCACAUGCAAAAUACAAUUUUUAAGAAUCUAUGAUUAAAGGUGGAAAAAAAUAUUGGGCUAGAGGUCAUAAGAUUUAAAGUUUAGCCUUGGCACUGCCAGUAAAUAAGAGUGUAACUUUGGAACAAUUAUUGUACCUCUUUAGGCCUCUAUGAGGGUUUUGGAGCAAGUAACAUGGCUGCUCAGGUCCUAUCCACAUCCAACCUCUUCUUAGCCUGUGAUGACUGUAUCUCAUGAGCUGUGAUGAUGUAGUGACAGAACAGGUGGCGCACCUUGGUCCAAAGCCAAGAAUACCAUUUUCACAUAUUCAGCACUUUGCCCCACCAUCUGAUGCUACUUGGCCUCCUUUGCCUGACCCUAGAUCCUAGAGCAUUCCUCCAGGGAUAGGCAUUUGAUAUGGUUAGACUUCGCGUCCCCCCCCAAACCUCAUCUUGAAUUGUAAUCCCCAGGUAUUUAGGGAGAGACCUGGUGGGAAGUGAUUGGAUUAUGGGGGCGGUUCCCCCAUGCUGUUCUUAUGAUAGUGAGUGAAUUCUCAGGAGAUAUGAUGGUUUUAGAAAUGCUAGUCUUUCCUGUGCUGACUCAUUCUCUCUCUUGCCACCCUGUGAAGAGGCGCCUUCCGCCAUGAUUAUAAGUUUCCUGAGGCAUCCCCAGCCAUGUGGAACUGUGAGUCAAUUAAACCACUUUCUUUAUAAAUUACCCAGUCUUGGGUAUUUCUUCAUAGUAGCAUGAGAAUGGACUAAUACAGCAUUUCAAAGUGUCUCCACAGUAACUACAUUGUAGUUUAUAACUUUGAGCAAUUCCCUCAUGUAGCCCUGUUAUGUGAUAGAAGGCUUUUAUUUACUUAUUUAUUUAUUUUUCCAGGCUGUAAGGCACAGAAUGAGCCUUGUUCAAGUGACUAUAAGGUGAAAAGUUUUAUGUGAAAAUAUUGGUACAUAUGGAGAAACACAGGGUGUGUGAUCAGCAGGGGAUCUGGUCUUCAGGGGAAGUCACAUACCUAUUCAGGAGCCCAUGGAAAGUCCUCACAGAGGGUGGUAGGCCUUGAAUCAGGCCCCUGUGUCUGGCUGGUGGCUCAGGUGUCAAGCCUAGUGUUGUAUCCAGGGUUGCACAGUUCCAUAGCACAAUGUGCAGCAACUCACCAGAAAAAUGCAUCUCAGAAGGGGGCCAAGGGCUUCACUAGACCUUGGAAUCCCAUGGAAUAUCAGAAUGAUGGUGACUCAUAAGAAUAGCCAUUCUGUUUUGAGUAGUCACUUUCCAAACACUAGUUCCAACACUCCCAUCCAUGCAGGAUAUAUGUUACUCUCCCUGUUUUCCAAAUGAAGAAAGAGAGGCUCAGAGAAGUCAAGUGACUUGCUUGGUCACAGCCAGUGGGUUUCACAGUCAGGCCUCUGCCCUGAUGUGUCUGACUUCAAUCCUGGAUAUUUUGCCCUGCACAGUCUAAUCUAUUCUACUCAGACCUUGAUUAUUUUGGACCCAGCAGAUGGUGUAAUAAUGUCUUGUUCUAAGUCAUGAUGCAGUGGAGUGAGUUGUUAUGGCCUGAGUUGUGCCCCCUUCCCCACAUUCUUAUGUUGAAGUACUAACCUGCAGUGUGACAGUAUUUGGAGAUAGGGCCUUUAAAGAGGUUAAUUAAGGUUAUAUGAGGUCAUAAGGUGGGGCUCUAACACAAUAGGACUGAUGUCCUUAUAAGAAAAGGAAAAGACAACAGGGCUGCAAAUGCACAGGGAGAAGGCCGCGAGAGGACACAGCAAGGAUGCGAUCAUCACAAGCCAAGGAGAGGCCUCAGGAGAAAACAGCCCUACUGAACCCUUGAUCUUGGACUUUCAGCCUCCAGGUUGAGCACCUGGAUUUCUGUGUUGUUUGUUUGUUUUGUUGUUGUUGUUGUUGUUGUUGUUGUUGUUGAGAUAGAGUUUCGCUCUUGUCACCCAGGCUGGAGUGCAAUGGCACGAUCUUGGCUCACUGCAGCCUCCGCCUCCUGGGUUCAAGUGAUUCUCCUGCCUUAGCCUCCUGAGUACUUGGAUUACAGGCGCCCACCACCAUGCCCAGGUAAUUUUUGUAUUUUCAGUAGAGAUGGGGUUUCACCAUAAUGGCCAGGCUGGUCUCAAACUCCUGACCUCAGGUGAUCCACCCGCUUUGGCCUCCCAAAGUGCUGGGAUUACAGGUGUAAGCCACUGUGCCUGGCCUGGAUUUCUGUUUUUUAAGACCCCUACUCUAUGAUAUUUUGUUAUGGCAGCCAGUUCUCAACACUGAGAGAGAGAGUCAGGGUCAAAGAUCUCUGCAGUCCCUUCCAAAAUCUAACGUUGUGUCAGUCGAGAAUGUUUGAACUUUUCAUCUGCUUAGAUCUCUGGACUACAUAAAACUCCUAAUUCCAACGUCUUGUUUAGAACCUAGCGGUUCAC